GAUGAACGCUGGCGGCGUGCCUAAUACAUGCAAGUCGAGCGAACGGACGAGAAGCUUGCUUUUCUGAUGUUAGCGGCGGACGGGUGAGUAACACGUGGAUAACCUACCUAUAAGACUGGGAUAACUUCGGGAAACCGGAGCUAAUACCGGAUAAUAUUUUGAACCGCAUGGUUCAAAAGUGAAAGACGGUCUUGCUGUCACUUAUAGAUGGAUCCGCGCUGCAUUAGCUAGUUGGUAAGGUAACGGCUUACCAAGGCAACGAUGCAUAGCCGACCUGAGAGGGUGAUCGGCCACACUGGAACUGAGACACGGUCCAGACUCCUACGGGAGGCAGCAGUCGGGAAUCUUCCGCAAUGGGCGAAAGCCUGACGGAGCAACGCCGCGUGAGUGAUGAAGGUCUUCGGAUCGUAAAACUCUGUUAUUAGGGAAGAACAUAUGUGUAAGUAACUGUGCACAUCUUGACGGUACCUAAUCAGAAAGCCACGGCUAACUACGUG
rnacentral:rRNA from 1 species